GUGCUUAUUCUGGCAGCACAUAUACUAAAAUUGGAAUGAUACAGAGAUUAGCGUGGUCCCUGAACAGGAUGACAUAUAAAUUCAUGAAGCAUUCCAUAUUGAC
rnacentral:snRNA from 1 species